rnacentral:rRNA from 1 species
GCGUAACGGCAUGCUUACCAUGCAAGUCGAACGAUGAAGGGAGCUUGCUCCUGGAUUAGUGGCGAACGGGUGAGUAACACGUGAGUAACCUGCCCUUGACUCUGGGAUAAGCCUGGGAAACUGGGUCUAAUACCGGAUAUGACCUUCCAUCGCAUGGUGGUUGGUGGAAAGCUUUUGUGGUUUUGGAUGGACUCGCGGCCUAUCAGCUUGUUGGUGGGGUAAUGGCCUACCAAGGCGACGACGGGUAGCCGGCCUGAGAGGGUGACCGGCCACACUGGGACUGAGACACGGCCCAGACUCCUACGGGAGGCAGCAGUGGGGAAUAUUGCACAAUGGGCGCAAGCCUGAUGCAGCGACGCCGCGUGAGGGAUGACGGCCUUCGGGUUGUAAACCUCUUUCAGUAGGGAAGAAGCGAGAGUGACGGUACCUGCAGAAGAAGCGCCGGCUAACUACGUGCCAGCAGCCGCGGUAAUACGUAGGGCGCAAGCGUUAUCCGGAAUUAUUGGGCGUAAAGAGCUCGUAGGCGGUUUGUCGCGUCUGCCGUGAAAGUCCGGGGCUCAACUCCGGAUCUGCGGUGGGUACGGGCAGACUAGAGUGAUGUAGGGGAGACUGGAAUUCCUGGUGUAGCGGUGAAAUGCGCAGAUAUCAGGAGGAACACCGAUGGCGAAGGCAGGUCUCUGGGCAUUAACUGACGCUGAGGAGCGAAAGCAUGGGGAGCGAACAGGAUUAGAUACCCUGGUAGUCCAUGCCGUAAACGUUGGGCACUAGGUGUGGGGGACAUUCCACGUUUUCCGCGCCGUAGCUAACGCAUUAAGUGCCCCGCCUGGGGAGUACGGCCGCAAGGCUAAAACUCAAAGGAAUUGACGGGGGCCCGCACAAGCGGCGGAGCAUGCGGAUUAAUUCGAUGCAACGCGAAGAACCUUACCAAGGCUUGACAUGAACCGGACCGGGCUGGAAACAGUCUUUCCCCUUGUGGGCUGGUUUACAGGUGGUGCAUGGUU